rnacentral:rRNA from 1 species
CAAUAGCGUAUAUUAAAGUUGUUGCAGUUAAAAAGCUCGUAGUUGGAUUUGUGGCGUACGGUGUGUUCCGGGCACUUGUUGCCUGAGUAACCUGCUGUUGCCAUCCUUGGGUGGAACCUGUGUGGCAUUAGGUUGUCGUGCAGGGGAUGCCCAUCAUUUACUGUGAAAAAAUUAGAGUGUUCAAAGCAGGCUUAUGCCGUUGAAUAUAUUAGCAUGGAAUAAUGAGAUAGGACUUCUUUGCUAUUUUGUUGGUUUGCGCAAAGAGGUAAUGAUUAAUAGGGACAGUUGGGGGUAUUCGUAUUCCAUUGUCAGAGGUGAAAUUCUUGGAUUUUUGGAAGACGAACUACUGCGAAAGCAUUUACCAAGGAUGUUUUCAUUAA